CCUUAAAACUUAGGGGUGUGAAUUUUUAGUAGGAGGAUUUUAGAUGGGGCAAAAGGAUCCAAUCAGAUGGUUCAUCCAAUAAAGUCUGAUGGUCAACAUAGCCAACCUUGCACAAAAUAAAGCAAGUGGAUAAAAAAAAGAUUUAUAGUGCACAAAUACUACGAACAUGGGUAGUGAUCAUAUAUAUAGUGAGUAAAUUGCACCCGCUUCAAUCAUCAUCAAGCCUGAUAGAGAAAAGUAAAUAAAUAUAGAAAAAUUAAUACAUUGUGACAUACCUUAAUAUUCGGAGAUGUGGAGAUUUACAUUGGAGAGUUUGGUAUCUGAUUUGCGCAGUCCAUCCAAUCAAAUCCGUUGGUCAAGCUAGUCAUUCAUAAGCAAAACCAAAAAAGUGAAUAAAGGCAACGUUCUUCUUACCCAAAUUAGAAAUAACCUAAUUAAAAUUAAUAAAGUACAACAUUACAACAUAUCUAAUUGCGUAGUGAGAAAGGAAGUUGAUUGGAUCCACUACGAGUUCGAGACCUAUAAAUAAGAACAAGGUUAUCGAUCGGCCUUUGACGCUCAACUUAGUUAUGGCACUAAAGAAGAAAAAUAUAAGAAAAAUUAUGAAAUAAUUUCAUACCUUAAAACUUCGGAGUAUGAAUUUUUUGGAGGAUUUUAGAUGGGAAAAAAGGAUCAAAUCAGAUGGUCCAUCCAAUAAAAUCCGAUGGUUAAUAUAGCCAACCUUGCACAAAAUAAAGCAAGUGGAUAAAAAAAAUUUAUGGUGCACAAAUACCAACUACACAUAAUUAUAAAUAUUACGAACAUGAGUAGUGAUCAUAUAUAUAGUGUGAGCAAGUCGCACCAGCUUCAAUCAUGAUCGAAGCCCGACAGAGAAAAGUAGAUAAAUAUAGAAAAUUAAAUACAUUGUUCCAUACCUUAAUAUUUGGAGAUAUGCAGAUUUACAUUGGAGAGUUUGGCAUUCGUGGUCUAUCCAAUCAAGUCUACUAGUCAAUUGUGUUGGUCCUCGCAAAAUCAAACAAAGUGCAAAAAAAUUAAAACACCUUACACAAAUAUACAAAGUAACAACGAAGUAUAGCAUAAGGUAAUUAGAGUAUUCGUAGGUCUAGUAAAUCAUACCCGCUUACGUGAUUAUAGAACCUGAACAAUAAACUAAAAGAUCAACCAUGAUGACUGUGACACCUACAAAAGAGGACCAGGUUAGCACCCCCGGGCCAGUGACCUAACAAGGGCACUCCGAAAUCAAAUCAGGUAUGGUCUACGAGACGAUAUACAUAGAGAGAGAAAUUUUAAUGCAUGAUUUCAUACAUUAACCCCUAGAAGUGUGGAUCUUGAUAAAAGACGAUUUACUUACGGCCAAGGUAUCUCGUUUGCGUGGUCUAUCUAAUCAAAUAUGAUGGUCAAUCUAGUCGUUCCUAAGCAAGACCAAAAAAGUGAAUAUAGGCAAUAUUCCUCGUACCCUAAUACGAAGUAACCUAGUUAAAAUUAAUCAAGUACAACAUUACUACAUAUCUAAUUACCUCGUGAGAAAUGAGAAGUUGGUUGGGUCUACUGUGAGUUCGAGACCUACAGAAAUGAACGAUGUUACCGCCCAACCUCUAACAAUGAAUUUAGUUAUGGCACUAAAGAAGAAAAAUAUAAAAAAUUUAAUGGAAUAGUUUCAUACCUUAAAACUUUGAGGUGUGGAUUUUUAGUAGGAGGAUUUAGAUGGGGCAAAAGUAUCCAAUCAAAUGGUCCAUCCAAUAAAGUCCGAUGGUCAAUAUAGCCAACCUUGCACAAAAUAAAGCAAGUGGAUAAAAAAAAAUUAUGGGGCACAAAUACAACUACAUGUAAUUAGAAAUACUACGAACAUUAGUAGUGAUCAUAUAUAUAGUGUGAGCAAAUUGCACCCGCUUAAAUCAUGAUCGAAGCCCGACAGAGAAAAGGAAAUAAAUAUAAAAAAUUUAAUGCAUUAUUCCAUGCUUUAAUAUUCAGAGAUGUGGAGAUUUACAUUGGAGAGUUUGGCAUAUGUGGUCUAUCCAAUCAAGUCUGCUACUCAAUCGUGUUGGUCUUCCCAAAAUCAAACAAGUGAAAAAAAAUUAAAACACCUUACACAAAAAUACAAGCAACAUCAAAGUAUAGCAUAAGGUAAUUAGAGUAUUCGUAAGUCUAGUAAAUCAUACCCGCUUACGUAAUGAUAGAACUUGAACAAUAAACUAAAAGAUCCACCAUGAUGACUGUGACACCUAAAAAAGAGGAUCAGGUUAGCACCCCGGGCCAGUGACCUAAUGGGGGCACUCUGAAAUCAAGUCAGGUACGGCCUACGAGACGAUAUACAUAGAGAGAGAAAGAGAAAUUUUAAUGCAUGAUUUUAUACUUUAAUCCCUAUAGGUGUGGAUCUUGAUAAAAGAGGAUUUACUUACGGCCAAAAGUAUCAUAUUCGCGAGGUCUAUCUAAUCAAAUCCAAUGGUCAAUAUUGUCAUUCUUAUGCAAGACCAAAAAGUGGAUAUAGGCAAUGCUCCACGUACCCAAAUACUAAGUAAUCUAAUUAAAAUUAAUGAAGUAUAACAUUACAACAUAACUAAUUACCUCGUGAGAAAGGAAAAGUUGGUUGGAUCUACUAUGAGUUCGAGACCUACAGAAAUAAAUAAGGUUACAACCCAACCUCUGACACUAGGCAUAGUUAUGGCACUAAAGAAAAAAAUAUAUAGAAAAUUUAAUGCAGUAGUUUCAUACCUUAAAACUUCAGGGUGUGAAUUUUUAGUAGGAGUAUUUUAUAUGAGGCAAAAAGAUCCAAUCGGAUGGUCCAUCCAAUAAAGUCCGAUGGUCAAUAUAACCAACC
rnacentral:lncRNA from 1 species